AAACUCAGAAACACAGACGAGCUGAGAGUAGAGAGGCCGGGCUUCCUUCCCCAUGGGAGAAGUGGUUACGAAAGGAGCCUCACCUAGACUGUCCUUGCCUCACAUUU
rfam:Myotis lucifugus cont2.20398, whole genome shotgun sequence.